UGUUUGCUUAGCUUUACUGACUCGGUGCGAGUAGCUCGAUUUGCCGAAGCCUUAGGCUGCAAGCUGUAAACUUUCACUUAGAUUUACUGAACAUGUACCCACUUAGUCAAAACAGGGGCCUCCAGCGCCAGCGUAAAUCAGGAGAUAAGGAGGCUUCAAGGCCACCAUCGUCAACAGCAGCUGCAACUCGACAAGAUAACGAACGGCCUGUCUGGAGACGGUGCGGGAGUCCAAUAAGGAGUCAGAAGGUGUCGGAGGAUCUCAGACCGGGAUCACUAUUGGACCAAAGGGCGCGUGGAAGGCGCAUGAAGAGCGCGUGAGGGGCGGGUGAAUAGUCUACAGAGGUUUAAUUGCCCAGGGAUUUCUUUGUUCGGGUUGGUCCCUCCUCGGAGACAUCCAGCUAGAGUCAACCCUGCUGCUGUACCACUCUAUUAAAUUAUUUAUUUUUAUGAGAUUCGAUGCCUGAAAGUCUGUUUCGGGAAACCCGAGGGUUCAAACUUCGGAGCGAACUAACACUGGACACCUGGAUGGAAGCAUCACAGGUGGACUUUGUCUGCAACAGCUGAUGAGCAGCGUGGUUAUGACUGAUGAAACAAGACCAAGAGGAUGCUGGAGAGCAGGAGAUAACGAAAUGACAAAUCGAGCCUACAACCACUCCUCCAAAGCGCUUGACUAGACCCUAUUUCGCAAUAACGCCCCUGGGCUGCAAAGCACUCCAUUCCAGUGACUUCAGAGGAGUAUUCAGAAGUUUUAAAGAAAUGUAAGGAACGAGAAAUACACCCAUGAGGAGAAGUUCAGUAAUAGAAGGGAGCUGGCAAGAAGGUGACAAAUAAAAGCACAGACUUGGGCAGAACAAGUUAAUUUCAAACACUACUGAUGCUGAGUAAGUGCCUGUUCAGCUCACACAGAGGCAAGUGGGAGGUCUGACUGACAUCAGUGGAAACAUGUGAACAUUUAAAACCGUCAAGAGUCUUCGUAAGUAAAUGAUCAAACAAGACCGUAAUAAACUGAGGAGACGGGCUUCUGAAAUAGAGGGGCCCACACAUGCAAAGCACAGCUCUCUCUUCAUCAGAACAUCAUCUUUUCAGGCUGUAUUUGAGAUACGGGCGUAAGCACUCUCAGUUUUCCCCCAAAACAAAGUUAACCACUUUCCCAUUUCAAGAAGUGAAUGAAAGACACAGCAACUGAAAGCACUAAUAUCUGUAUUACAGGUCUCAACGCUUUCUUGCUUCGUUGUGUUCAUCGGAGAAAAAAAAAAGAAAAAAAGAAAGGGAAAAAAAGCACUUCUCAGCCCAAGCUCAAGAAACGUUAAGCGAUCGCCCUUUUGAUUACGAAGUAUAACACAACCCUCAUCAGGGAUGAUGCUUUUACGUAACAGCCACCUAGUCGCUCACGAGGAGGAUGUCGUUGCGUGUCAAUAACCCCAAGAGUCUCCCUUCUCCCGACCUUCGGCAGCACCUACCCGAAGCCAUUUCCUAUGACCACCGCAGCACCCAGCAGCACCCAGCCCUGCCAGCUCCAUCCCCGGAGCGGCUCAGGGCCUCAAACGCAGAGAGCAAAGGGGAAGGAACAAAGCCCUGACGUCAAUUACUGGAAAAGGAUUAAACCCAUCAGCUAAGAGAGGGGAACGCAUCGGCCCCAUUAGCACCGGGAACCGUCCCGAACGUCUCUUGCCCGCCGGGGUCACCCCGGUUUUGCUCUCCGGGGUGAGGGACGCGGCGGGGGAGCAGUGCCCGGCCCAGACACCCACCGCCGCUGCCGCCGGUCGACAUUUCUGCUACAUUUCGAGGGCUGACGCGGGCCGUGAGGAUGAACUGACGCACGACAGGGCACGAAGCUGCCAGCGGCCUACAGACAGCUCCGAGCAGGGACACGCCGGCCUGGGCCCUGCCCGCUCGGACCCAGCUUUUCAGAAUUCAGUUUUUCUGCAUAAUUGCUUCAGACGUCUUUCCCCCGCUCCCCAAAGCGCCCCCAGAGCCCUCCCCGGCCCCCCCAAGCCAGCCCUCGCCUCACCUCACGGUUCUUAAAACCGCUCUUGCUCUUUUCUGCAACUUAACUGCUUUGGUUUAUAAUUCAGGUUUUCGUCUCGGCGGAGCGUUGGGGUGCUGGUUUUUGACCUAAAACAGCCGAGCAGAGCACAGCGUUCAGAACUCCCGACUGACCCAGGGGAAACACAAGUCACCUCACCGGAUAUCCCGGGCGGACAACCCCGUUACACCAGCAACGUUACCAAAACUUCCAAAAUCAGCUUUGAAAAUCAUUUCCAAAAUAGGCUGUUUCUGAAAAACCUACAACUAUACUAUAUAAAUAUUUUGAAACAAAAACUACUUCUUCCACAUACACCGAUUUUGAAACAUACUGGAACAUAGUUCUACUUUGGGUUCAUAUUUUUAAGAAUAAUAUUUUAUUUUUGUUUGAAAUCCGCAAGUCAAGUGCAGCACAAUGGUGCAAAAAAAAAAAAAAAAAAAAACCACAAACCAAAACAAAACCAACCCCUUUUUUUUUUGCACAACAAACUCCAGAAUCUAAGUCUUUAAAAAAAAAUAAAAAAAAAAAAUCUCCAAUACUAUGAUUGCAGAGACCAUUCAUACAAAAAUGCCAUAAAAAGAGACAAUAAUAGUUUUAAGUCUAGAGCCAAACAGUUCAUCACUAUUUUAACUGGCAGUUAAAUCUUCAGAUUGUUAUGACACUGAAAUACAACCAACAACAAAACAUGGUCAAAUUCGGGUGGAACCCAAAACUACCUGAAAAUUAAAUGCACCUAUAACUUCCCUCCUUUAUACAGGCAGGGAAAGCACAGGCAGCUCCUUUGAGAAAGUAACACUGUACUGCAAAUAACAGAAAGGAACAGGAAAUAAUAAAAAUACCCUGUUCCUAUCAGGUUUCAAUGAUGUCUCUAAAAUUCUGCCAGUGACAUUUUUGAUAUACCAAAUCUCAAAAGUCAAACUUAAAUUCUGGUAUUAUGUUUUGUAUUAUCCCCCCCACCUUCUCUUACACAUCUCAAUUAACAAAAUUAGGCUGCGAAGAUCUGCCUCAGACACCACUGAUGUCUCAGUGUCUGGUUAAAAGCAGAGCUUGGAUAAAUGUAACUUCAUAAAGCACAUUAAACCCAUGGGGUUAAGGUACGUUGAAUCGUUCCUUUAUAAAUCAAAUCCAUUUGAUAGCAAAAGUCUUAUUUAUUAAGGACUCCUCCCUAAAAAAAAAAAAAAAAAUAAUCCAUCAAUCCACAAGAGACUGUAUAAUGCAGUUUCAUUGAGGGCACCCAAAAACCUGUUUCUGACUGACAGAUGUUUGAUUAAUAAAGACCUGGACUAGCAGAUCAGGUUGUCUCUCCCUUCUUCUGCUCUCCCAUCAGUUCGGGUUUUUCCUUGAAAUGUGAUGCCUUUUCCCGAGGCUAUUUUUCUACUAGACUGCAUCAAUUGCUUCCCUUCAAUUAGCAAUGGCAGCUUUACUUGUAAUUGGAUGGAUUAAAACUGAGGCUGUUCAGAGCUACACAGGUCUCAUGUAACUGCUUAGUAAAUAUAACAAUUUCUACUUAGCAGGUUUAAAAAAAAAAAUAAAAUCUUUUGGACUUGACCUAGAGCUUUGGCAGGCAGUAAUUAAAGAAAUACCUUUCCCGUUGAAAAAAAUUUGAAUCGAAGCAUCCAGUAAGAAAUCAGGAUGUGAUCUAGUGAAAGAUGAACUGGUAAGGCUCUUGACAGGCUGGUGGGUUUUACUCUGUAAAAUAAGAAUAUGUAGAGAGAAAUUAAACAGAAAGGGCAAUUAAAAAAAAAACAACAAAAAUAUUGUAUUUGAAAUUAAACAUUUUUUUAAUAAUCUGAGUACAGAGGGACUUACGAUUAGUCUCGGACUUAAUCAACAUUUGGCAUCAUCAGACAUACAGUGAAAGCAGUAAGCCAUCUCUUUGAAUCUCCUUUCAUCUGUUCUCCACUCAUGAGCCAACAGUGGACCAGAAAUUAAAUUAAGGUUUCCUUAGUAUCAUCUAAUUAUGUUACCUUAUCCUAGCGCCUGCUGACAGAACCUAACAUACACAAGCAUGCCCUUUUGUCUUUGUGAAUGGACCCAAUCUGUCUGCCUGUACACGCCAAACGUAAACAGAUGUACCAAGUGACCAAGCCCCUGAAGUUGACUAGCUUUGUUAGACAACUACUAAGAACUAAACUUCUCUUUUCUUGGCAGAGACAACUUAAUGGGGAGAAGUAACAUGCUUGCGUGAAGCAGUGCACUUCUGACAAAACCAUCUACACACAAACACCAGCGGCAUUAAAGAAACGAACGUACAAGAUGCUCUCAACAGGAUGGCAAAGCACAGGACCUCCACCCAGACGGGCUCCACACCCCUCCUGCAGCCAUCACCCUGCAACGAAGAGGUCACUGACAGCAACCUUACCACCACACCUGCUUCAGUCAUCACUCACGGCUUGCUGGAACUGUUGAGAUGGCCUGAAACCCUGCGCUAUAGAAAGUCCUAUAUUCCAAAGGGCUUCCACACACAUGCUUAACUACUGUAUCACUUACACUUGGAUUUGCAGUAAGCAUGAACUUAGCAACUACUGUUUAAUAAUUUGUUAACUUUUCCCAUUAAAUGGUACAUUCACUCAA